AGAGUUUGAUCAUGGCUCGAGGAUAAACGCUGGCGGCGCACAUAAGACAUGCAAGUCGAACGGAAGCCGUUUAAAAAUUAAUUGAUUGGAUAUGAGGACUUGUCCAAUUUGAAGAGAUGUUAAUUUUAAACAUAUGACUUUAGUGGCGGACUGGUGAGUAACGCGUAAGCAAUCUGCCUAUCAGAGGGGAAUAACAGCGAGAAAUCGUUGCUAAUACCGCAUAUGCUUAAGUAUCGCAUGAUACAAUAAGGAAAGGAGUAAUCCGCUGAUAGAUGGGCUUGCGUCUGAUUAGAUAGUUGGUGGGGUAACGGCCUACCAAGUCGAUGAUCAGUAGCCGGACUGAGAGGUUGAACGGCCACAUUGGGACUGAGAUACGGCCCAGACUCC
rnacentral:rRNA from 1 species